UACGUAGGUGGCAAGCGUUGUCCGGAUUUACUGGGCGUAAAGAGCGCGCAGGCGGUCGUUCAAGUCGCGUGUGAAAGCCCCCGGCUCAACUGGGGAGGGUCACGCGAUACUGCUCGACUCGAAGGCAGGAGAGGGAAGUGGAAUUCCCGGUGUAGUGGUGAAAUGCGUAGAUAUCGGGAGGAACACCAGUGGCGAAGGCGACUUCCUGCCUGUUCUUGACGCUGAGGCGCGAAAGCUAGGGUAGCAAACGGGG
rnacentral:rRNA from 1 species